AUUAAUUAUUCCCUCUCUCAACAUUACGAUAGAUCGUUCAGGCAUAGAAGAGUAAGAAACUUGAGCUUCGAGCCACCGGAAGAAGAAUCGAAUCGAAUCGAAUCACGUUCUCAUCUUGACGGCAUUUGAGGUACUUUGAAACCACACAUGUCUACAAUUUCAUCACACUUGUGGGGUACUAACAAUGGAGCUGGUGGAUGCAAGCGAAGAGUUUCCUUCACCACUGCUUUCAUCCUGGCAUGAGCACGUUGUGGAUCAAAUGGACGAAGAAUGGGA